GUAUCUUCGGAUAUGAGUAGAGCGGCGGACGGGUGAGUAACGCGUAGGAAUCUACCUAGUAGAAGGGGAUAGCCCGGGGAAACUCGGAUUAAUACCGUAUACCUCCUUUGGGAGAAAGAAGGCCUCUCUUUGAAGCUUUCGCUAUUAGAUGAGCCUGCGUAAGAUUAGCUUGUUGGUGAGGUAAAGGCUCACCAAGGCGACGGUCUUUAGCGGGCCUGAGAGGACGAUCCGCCACAUUGGGACUGAGACACGGCCCAGACUCCUACGGGAGGCAGCAGUGGGGAAUAUUGUACAAUGGGCGCAAGCCUGAUCCAGCCAUACCGCGUGUGUGAAGAAGGCCCUAGGGUUGUAAAGCACUUUAAGUUGGGAAGAAAAGUUAUUGGUUAAUACCCAAUGACCGUGACAUUACCUUCAGAAUAAGGACCGGCUAAUUCCGUGCCAGCAGCCGCGGUAAUACGGAAGGUCCAAGCGUUAAUCGGAAUUACUGGGCGUAAAGCGCGCGUAGGUGGUUUAUUAAGUUGGAUG
rnacentral:rRNA from 1 species